AUGAUUGAUUACGAUAGGGCGGUUGAGAUCACCCGGAAAGGGGGUGAUUUCAUGACGAUCUUUGAGGCGAUUUCAAUAAUGAUCUCUUUUUCUACGAUGAUCAUUACACUAAUCGCUGUGAUUGUCGCUAUUUUUUCAGCAACAAAAAAGUAGCCCCCCUGUCGGCUAACGGGUAAGGGCUACUUUUCGAUUUAGAUAACGCCAAUCCCCUAUCAAAGAAUGGCUAUCAUUGGACCACAGUUCGCGCUGUG
rnacentral:misc_RNA from 1 species